rnacentral:rRNA from 1 species
GAUGAACGCUGGCGGCGUGCCUAAUACAUGCAAGUCGAGCGAAUGGAUUAAGAGCUUGCUCUUAUGAAGUUAGCGGCGGACGGGUGAGUAACACGUGGGUAACCUGCCCAUAAGACUGGGAUAACUCCGGGAAACCGGGGCUAAUACCGGAUAAUAUUUUGAACUGCAUGGUUCAAAAUUGAAAGGCGGCUUCGGCUGUCACUGAUGGAUGGACCUGCGUCGCAUUAGCUAGUUGGUGAGGUAACGGCUCACCAAGGCAACGAUGCGUAGCCGACCUGAGAGGGUGAUCGGCCACACUGGGACUGAGACACGGCCCAGACUCCUACGGGAGGCAGCAGUAGGGAAUCUUCCGCAAUGGACGAAAGUCUGACGGAGCAACGCCGCGUGAGUGAUGAAGGCUUUCGGGUCGUAAAACUCUGUUGUUAGGGAAGAACAAGUGCUAGUUGAAUAAGCUGGCACCUUGACGGUACCUAACCAGAAAGCCACGGCUAACUACGUGCCAGCCGCCGCCGUAA